UGGUUUGUUCUAAACAUUUCCGACGACUGAACACAAUAGGUCAUGGAGCCAUAUCUUUCACCACGUCUUCCUUUUUUUCGUCUAACAGUUUGCCUAAUGUCAGCUGGAACACACGGAAUAGUGCACUGCAGCUGGGGACAAUUACGUAGUCAGUGAUGCUACUGACGCACGCCAUUUUGGAGCAGCUUUUCGACCAUUGGAGCAGAGAACCAAGAGCGCCCUGAAAGGAGUCCGCUUUGGGACUAUCGAAGCCAUCCAAACCGCCAUGACAAAGACUCUAAAAGAGGUUCCCGUCGACGCCUUCCAGGAUGUAUACAGUGCAUGGCAGAGUCACUGGCAAAAAUGUGCAGAUGCAAGAAGAGCCUACUACAAAGAAUUCUAAACAUUUGUAAUGAUAUCUUGAAUAAACUUUUUUUUUUUUUUUU